UGGUGGAGUGAUUUGUCUGGUUAAUUCCGUUAACGAACGAGACCUCGACCUGCUAAAUAGUUGGCAUCAUCUUUUUUGAUGGUGUGAUAAACUUCUUAGAGGGACUAUCGGUGUGUAGCCGAUGGAAGUUCGAGGCAAUAACA
rnacentral:rRNA from 1 species